UUGUAUGGCCAUGCUACCCUGAACAAGCCCAAUCCCAUCCGAUCUCAGAAGCUAAGAAGGGUUGGGCAUGGUUAGUACUUGGAUGGGAGACCAUGUAGGAAGACCAAGUGUUUAUAGG
rnacentral:rRNA from 1 species